rnacentral:lncRNA from 1 species
CAGGAAGUAGAAGGGUUCUAUUUUGGAUGUGGCAACUGAUAAGCCUGUUAAGGCCCCGCUUCCUUGGGGAGCAGCUGUGGAAAGGGGUCGUCCCGUUCGCUGGCUAGCAGUUGGGGACCAAAUGAGGGAGGCGCGCUGCAGAGUCCGUAAUCCAGCAUCUGAUGAGCAUCCGGAGAGAGCGGACCUUGCCAGUCUCACCGUUCCGAGGCGGUAGAAGCGGUUAUGCAAGUCGCGUUGUGGGGCGCCCCCCUCCCUCAGAUCACCUGGACAGCUGUCUGCUUACAUGGAGUCAGACAUCCUGAAGCUCCGGACAGGCGGAGGCGGGGUCCUCCAGCUGGGGGACAGGUCCGUGUCCAUGAAGCGGGGUCGGCAGCUUCCCCCGCGGCCCGUGCCACUGCCUGAACCGCCCUGCUUCCUCCCAGGGAAGGCGCAGAGGCAGGUCGGUUUCCAAGAGAAAGUCUCCUUUGUUUCUCCUGCAAAUGUUUUCAUUAGAGAGGGGCUUCUCCUGUGUGCAUCGUCCCUGACCUCUGGAAGCCCCAGUCAUCGGGUUUCAGGACCACGAUUUGGACAGCUGCACACACUGGCCUGGCAGGUAUGUGAGCAGGGCGGCGGCUCACCGCGCCCAGGGAGGCCUUGGCCUGGCCCCAUCCUUCCUGCAAGCACGGGCCCUGUGGGGCGCCCGCCCCUUCUGUGGCCAGCUGUCCGCCAGAACAGGUCCAGCGGCCCUUCCACCGACAGCAGAACUCCUCUGGGGCCCCAGCUUAUAAUUUAUUCAAUUAUGCCUGGGCGGGAAGGGGGAGAAGGGGCUGCCUGACUUCCACGUCUUUCUCCUGUGGGUGGUGGGGUCCAGAGGACUUCCACCCGGCUCAGUUCUCAGGGCCGGGGAUAGUGAGUUGUAGGAGGGCCUAACCAACAAAAUGCAGCUGUUCCCAGAACAAGGCCAGGGAGCCCCCAGUGCCCCCUGUGUCUUGUAGAGCAUGAGCGCCAGCGUCUGUCACAUGCAGAGCCUGACAGCAGUUCUGUGAGGAUUCUGGAGCUGCCCACACCAAGCUCCAUAAACCAGAGGGCUUUAAACCACAGAACCUCAGCCUCUCGCAGUUCUGGAGGCCAGAAGUUUGAGGUCAGGGCAUCAGCAGCACUGUGCUCCCUCCAGUGCCCUGGGGAGGCUCAUCCUUCCUGCCUCUCGCCUACCCUGCAGUGGUGCUGGCAGUCCUUGGCUGAUGGCCACAUCCGUCCAGUGUCUGCUUCUGUCUUCACAUGUAUGUCUUUCCUCUGUGCAUGUCUGUGUCUGUGUCCAUAUUUCCCCCUUAUUAGGGCCCCAGGCAUUGGAUUCAGGGCCCACUCCAUGCCCCGUGACCUCAUCUGUCAUCUGGUGGUAUCUGCAAAGCCCCUAUUCUGAAUAAGGCCACGUCCACAGGUAAGGGGAUUAGGGCUUGGACACAUAUUCCCAGGGGAGGCCAUUCCACCCGGGGCAGAGCUAUUCUCUGCAAGCACCCAUUUUACUUUGAUGUCUCAGUUUUCUCAUGUGUUGAUGGGAUAAGAGUCCAACCUUCUUCGUUGGGCAGAUAUGGGGAGUCAACUGGCUGAGAGAUGUAGCAUCCUUAUAACCUGGCACGUGGCAAGUGACAUACAAGGGCAUUUUGUUCUUACUGUUAUCGUCAGCCACAGGGCUCCACAAACAACACAGAAAGAGGGUCAGGGUCAGACGCAGGUUAUAUACUUUAGUGAUCUCUAGUUACCAUUAGAAUAAAACCCACUCAGCCCCCA